GACGAACGCUGGCGGCGUGCUUAACACAUGCAAGUCGAACGGAAAGGCCCUGCUUUUGUGGGGUGCUCGAGUGGCGAACGGGUGAGUAACACGUGAGUAACCUGCCCUUGACUUUGGGAUAACUUCAGGAAACUGGGGCUAAUACCGGAUAGGAGCUCCUGCUGCAUGGUGGGGGUUGGAAAGUUUCGGCGGUUGGGGAUGGACUCGCGGCUUAUCAGCUUGUUGGUGGGGUAGUGGCUUACCAAGGCUUUGACGGGUAGCCGGCCUGAGAGGGUGACCGGCUACAUUGGGACUGAGAUACGGCCCAGACUCCUACGGGAGGCAGCAGUGGGGAAUAUUGCACAAUGGGCGGAAGCCUGAUGCAGCAACGCCGCGUGCGGGAUGACGGCCUUCGGGUUGUAAACCGCUUUCGCCUAUGACGAAGCGUGAGUGACGGUAAUGGGUAAAGAAGCACCGGCUAACUACGUG
rnacentral:rRNA from 1 species